rnacentral:sRNA from 1 species
UAAUAGAGAAGGUGCCAGAAAGAUCCAAAACAAGUGGCUGCGGCCGUCGCCCAGGAGUCACCGGACGCCAGAAUCUGUGUCUCCAGAACGCUAUAGCUAUGGCACCUCCAGCUCUUCAAAGAGGACAGAGGGUAGCUGCCGUCGCCGUCGGCAGUCAAGCAGUUCUGCAAAUUCUCAGCAGGGCUCCCCCCCAACCAAGCGGCAGCGGCGGAGUCGGGGCCGGCCCAGUGGUGGUGCCAGACGGCGGCGGAGAGGGGCCCCAGCCGCACCCCAGCAGCAGCCAGAGCCCGCCAGACCUUCCUCUGAAGGCAAAGUGACCUGUGACAUCCGGCUCCGGGUUCGAGCAGAGUACUGCGAGCAUGGGCCAGCCUUGGAGCAGGGCGUGGCAUCCCGGCGGCCCCAGGCGCUGGCGCGGCAGCUGGACGUGUUUGGGCAGGCCACCGCAGUGCUGCGCUCAAGGGACCUGGGCUCCGUGGUUUGUGACAUCAAGUUCUCAGAGCUCUCCUAUCUGGACGCCUUCUGGGGCGACUACCUGAGUGGCGCCCUGCUG